AUUGAACGCUGGCGGCAUGCCUUACACAUGCAAGUCGAACGGUAACAGGUUAAGCUGACGAGUGGCGAACGGGUGAGUAAUGUAUCGGAACGUGCUCAGUCGUGGGUGAUAACUGCUCGAAAGAGCAGCUAAUACCGCAUACGACCUGAGGGUGAAAGCGGGGGAUCGCAAUACCUCGCGCGAUUGGAGCGGCCGUUAUCAGAGUAGGUAGUUGGUGAGGUAAAGGCUCACCAAGCCGACGAUCUGUAGCUGGUCUGAGAGGACGACCAGCCACACUGAGACUGAGACACGGCCCAGACUCCUACGGGAGGCAGCAGUGGGGAAUUUUGGACAAUGGGCGCAAGCCUGAUCCAGCCAUGCCGCGUGCGGGAAGAAGGCCUUCGGGUUGUAAACCGCUUUUGUCAGGGAAGAAAAGGUUCUGGCUAAUACCUGAGACUCAUGACGGUACCUGAAGAAUAAGCACCGGCUAACUACGUG
rnacentral:rRNA from 1 species